rnacentral:rRNA from 1 species
AUUGAACGCUGGCGGAAUGCUUUACACAUGCAAGUCGAACGGCAGCACGGACUUCGGUCUGGUGGCGAGUGGCGAACGGGUGAGUAAUACAUCGGAACGUGCCCAGUCGUGGGGGAUAACGUAGCGAAAGCUACGCUAAUACCGCAUACGAUCUAAGGAUGAAAGCGGGGGACCGUAAGGCCUCGCGCGAUUGGAGCGGCCGAUGGCAGAUUAGGUAGUUGGUGGGGUAAAGGCUCACCAAGCCGACGAUCUGUAGCUGGUCUGAGAGGACGACCAGCCACUCUGGGACUGAGACACGGCCCAGACUCCUACGGGAGGCAGCAGUGGGGAAUUUUGGACAAUGGGCGCAAGCCUGAUCCAGCCAUUCCGCGUGCAGGAUGAAGGCCCUCGGGUUGUAAACUGCUUUUGUACGGAACGAAAAGGCUCUGGUUAAUACCUGGGGCUCAUGACGGUACCGUAAGAAUAAGCACCGGCUAACUACGUGCCAGCCGCCGCCGUAAAAC